AUUUGUGGUUUGUCGAACCAUGAUCAAAGUUCAAACUCUUAAUUAACUGCUGUCUGAAGAUCUUUGGAUCCUCGUACUGUGUUGUGCCGUACGUAUAUUUUGCCGCUGAAACUCGGGGACUUUUCUCCUAUGGAUGGUAAAAUCUAAAAUACAGCAAACGAAGUGUUGAUUCUCCCACCUGUUGCAUUGAGAAUGUCUUUUUGCUAUCCGUCGUCACCAAGAAAACUGGCGAUGACAGUGGCGUUUUUUGCCUCAGGGACUGCUCUUUUCGCCAUUGGAAUCCAUUUUUCGUAUCUCAACGUUGCUCCACAGCAAGCUCGCACUAAAGCCCGUAAUGAUUUUGUCAAAGAACGCCUCAGGCAGAAACAAGGCAAAUGAUUUCAGAGUGAUUUUUGUUUUCUGCCAAAAGACAAGCAUUUGAGCUUCUUACUUUAACCUCUCUACUCUCAAACUCAUCUCAUUGUUCUGUACGUAGAGCAAAAGAAAGUGAAUUACAAUUUUUCAAAACUGAAAACUGUUGCUUAAUAUUAUUACUUUUGUUUUUGUAAAUCAAAUGUAGCGUUUUGGCAUUGAUCAUA